GACGAACGCUGGCGGCGUGCUUAACACAUGCAAGUCGAACGGAAAGGCCCUGCUUUUGUGGGGUGCUCGAGUGGCGAAAGGGUGAGUAACACGUGAGUAACCUGCCCUUGACUUUGGGAUAACUUCAGGAAACUGGGGCUAAUACCGGAUAGGAGCUCCUGCUGCAUGGUGGGGGUUGGAAAGUUUCGGCGGUUGGGGAUGGACUCGCGGCUUAUCAGCUUGUUGGUGGGGUAGUGGCUUACCAAGGCUUUGACGGGUAGCCGGCCUGAGAGUGUGACCGGCCACAUUGGGACUGAGAUACGGCCCAGACUCCUACGGGAGGCAGCAGUGGGGAAUAUUGCACAAUGGGCGGAAGCCUGAUGCAGCAACGCCGCGUGCGGGAUGACUGCCUUCGGGUUGGAACCCGCUUGCGCCUGUGACGAAGCGUGAGUGACGGUAAUGGGUAAAGAAGCACCGGCUAACUACGUG
rnacentral:rRNA from 1 species